rnacentral:rRNA from 1 species
GACGAACCGUCCAAACGUUAUUCGGUAUUACUGGGCUUGAAGAGUUCGUAGGCGGCUUUGUAGGUGAGAUGUGAAAGCCCACGGCUCAACCGUGGAACAGCGUUUCAAACCACAGAGCUUGAGGAUGGCAGGGGUAAUGGGAACUGAUGGUGGAGCGGUGAAAUGCGUUGAUAUCAUCAGGAACACCGGUGGCGAAAGCGCAUUACUGGGCCAUUUCUGACGCUGAGGAACGAAAGCUAGGGUAGCGAACGGG